GGUGGGCUCUACCUCUGGAAGCAGGAUUCUGACGGACACGUCAGCGCGGAGCUUUCUGAUUCAUUCUUGUGUUGUGUUGCUAUAUAUCAGUAUCAUCAGUAACGACGAGUUUGGGUUUGGUUUCUGUGUUGCGUUGUGUGUCUCCGCCCCUUGCCACUGCUUGAUUUCCAAUUCGAUUUAGGGAUUCCCUGCGCAGAGUUUUAACCUCUUUCUCUCAUUCUCUGCGCUUCCAAAUCCAAUUCAAUCCAAUGUCGCUCCCCGAUUCUCCCGUCGCCAACGAUGACGAAAUCGAUCCAUCGCUUGACGAAGAAGAAGAAGAAGAAGAAGAAGAAAUAGAGGAGGAGGAAGAGGAGGAGGAAGAAGUGGAGGAGGAAGAGGUAGAAGGAGAAGAAGUAGAAGAAGACGAGGUUGAUGAAGAAGAGGAAGAGGAAGAGGAAGUGGUCGAGGAAGAAGUAGAAGAGGAAGAGGAAGAGGAAGAGGAAGUGGUCGAGGAAGAAGUAGAAGAGGAAGAGGAAGAGGAAGAAUUAGAAGAGAUAGAGGUGGAGGAAGAAGAAGAGGAGAGCGAACAACGAGCAGAAGAAAUGGAGGAGGAAGAGGAAGAAGAAGUCGAAGUGGAAGAGGAGGGGGAGGAAGAAGAAGUCGAAGAGGAGGAGGAGGGGGAGGAAGAAGAAGUCGAAGAGGAGGAGGAGGAAGAAGAAGUCGAAGUCGAGGAGGAGGAGGAGGAGGAAGAAGAAGUCGAAGUCGAAGAGAAGGAGGAGAAAGAAGAUGAGGAACAACAACAACAACAGCAAGAGACAGUGGAGGAGAAGAAGGAAGAGCGACAACAGCAACAAGAAGCAGAAGAAGCAGUGAAGGAACAACAAAAAAAACAACAACAAGAAGCAAUGGAGGAGAAGGAGGAGGACAAAUUGGCGGUGCCAGGUUCUCCACUCGAUGCCGAUAAGGAUCGCCAAGAUUCGAGCCAACAUAUGGAGUUUGAGGGGCAAGACAAAAUCUUGGGACCAGUUUCUUCUGUGGCUGAAAACCCUGAAGUGAUGCCACCAUCUAGUAUGCAUUGCUUGGAAGAGAAUGAUGCCAUGCUAAAAAAAAGUGAGAUACCUACAUUGGAAAAGGACGAGCUUCCCCUGAAAUAUGAAUUUUCGAGCCAUCCAAAAUCAAGAGAAAAUCUGACUUCUGUUGAAGAUUACAGAAGUCAAGUAUUCGAUGUUGAAGUUGAAAAUGCUGGAUCGCUUCUGCAGAAUGAAACAUUUGGAGGAUACAGUGAGCCAGGUUGCAAUAGCAAAGCUAAUUUAUGUGGUGAUAAUAAUAUUGAUUCCAGGGCCAGGGCCACCAAGUCAUCUAGUGAUACUGUACAAGAUAUGGUUAUUGGCCCCCUACCAAGAGAUUGCCUUGUUGAAGAUUCUAAUGGUGGUCAGAAUUCUAGAAUCAAAAUCAUGCAGUCGGAGAUAGAGUCAAGGGAUAAUGUGAAACAAAUGACAUCAAGGACUAGAAGUCUGUCUCCUGGUGCUGAGAUUAAAGAUGGAAACAAACGCCCCAGAAUUAUAUGUGAUUUUUUUGCUAAAGGAUGGUGUAUCAGAGGUAGUUCUUGUAGCUUUCUUCAUAUAAAAGAUACUGGGGCCAAUAUUGACCAGGAGGCUGAAGCAGACUUAGUUACUACUCAUCAGAAGAGACAGUUGAAAGUGGAAGAAGGUGUUAGGGAAAAUGUUGAGAGAUCAAGGAUGAAUCAGCAAGAAACAACUCCUAGUUGGCAUCCAUCUCAAGAAAAACAGAAGUUUCCGCUGAGGGACAACUUGGUUCCAGAGAAUAGAUUUCCAUUUAGUGCAUCAGACAACUAUUUUAGCUCAAAUCUUUCUUUGACUUCAACUCGUGCAGAUGGAAUGGCUACUCUUAGGAACCAACAUAUGUACAAAGGAUAUACUUCCACACUUUUGAGCCAUUCACCAAAUUCGAGCCUGGUUUCUCAAUUUCCAGCUUCAAGUAUGCCACUCUCCCAGCAGAUUCUAGCCCAAUCAGGACGUUCACUGUCUUUUAGUAAUGUGGAUUCUAAAAAAUUUUUGAACACUGACAAAGAAUAUCUCACAUCUAAGUCCACUUUCUCUGGUUCUGGUUCUGGUUCAGGGCGGGAAGAUUUUUCUCUUGUUAAUUUGUCUAGGGUUCCAUCAUAUCCUGCUGGAUAUAAAUCAAAAAUCUGUUCUUAUGAUUGGGAACCUUCUGUGCCCUUUCGACCAUCUUUUUUUAUUACUUCUAUGAAUGUAUCAUCUCCUGGAGAUCUUUAUGACCCUCUUCGUGAUAGCAUUGAAAUACCUAAUAUAGGAGAUGGGUCUUUGAAGGCUUCCCUUUUAAUUCAUGGAUCAAAUAUACAGGCAUCAUCACAGGUUCGGACAUAUGGUGAUUCUGCUGUAGUUGGGAAACACAUGGCCAAUCUUAAUGAUGACAAAAGUUCUGUAUCAUCUCAUAAUAAAUUUUGUGAAAAUGAGCCAAAUAAAAAUUGUCUUCCUCGUGAAAAAGAUUGUCUUCCACCUGAAACAGAGAUAACAUCAGGAACUUAUGUACACUAUCAAGGUAAAAUGGGCAUGGGGCAACAUACCUUUGAGGUUGCAGAUAAUAAAAAAAAAGAGAGAGAUUUGACUGAGUGUGAUGCUAGAUGUCAUGGUGAAGGAUCAGGGCGUAAAAAGAAGAGAGUAGACAGGGAUAAGAAAAAUCAUGAAAUGGAUGUCGACUUUCAGAUGGAUGGCAGCAUGCAGAAGGAAUCGAAGGCACUGAAAUUUUUCCGCGCGGUUCUUAUUGAUCAUGUUAAAGAGUUGUUAAAACCAGCUUGGCACGAGGGUCGUCUUAGCAAGGACACACAUAUAAUGAUAGUCAAAAAAUCAGUUGACAAGGUUGUUAACACCUUGGAACCCCAUCAGAUUCCGACCAUAGAUACUGCUAAGCAAUAUGUUUCUUCAAGUCAGGUGAAAAUUGCAAAGCUGGUUAAUGGAUAUGUCAAUAAAUAUGGAAAAUCUUGAUAUGCAAGCCAAACACCUUUUUGUACAGUUUCUGAUCAGUUGGCUGAUCCUAGUUCAUGAAAAGUUCUGUCUGAGGCUCUCUUUUUCAUACAGAAGGAUCAACAAUCAAGGAAGAUGACCGCGAAGGGGCCUAAAGUCGGAUGUCUUUUUCCUCUUUAUUUCUCUCAAUCUCAAUGUUCUUUUUUGCCUUUUGUUUCUUGUAACUUAGCUAUUGUUAAUUUUCAAAUAUGGCAUAAGUGCCUUGGUCACCCAAACUCUUAUGUACUUCAUGACUUACUGAAAUCUAGUGUUCUUGGUAACAGAAUUUUCCCAUCUCUUA